UUUUAUUUGAGAGUUUGAUCCUGGCUCAGGAUGAACGCUGGCGGCGUGCCUAACACAUGCAAGUUGAGCGAUUUACUUCGGUAAAGAGCGGCGGACGGGUGAGUAACGCGUGGGUAACCUACCCUGUACACACGGAUAACAUACCGAAAGGUAUGCUAAUACGGGAUAAUAUAUUUGAGAGGCAUCUCUUAAAUAUCAAAGGUGAGCCAGUACAGGAUGGACCCGCGUCUGAUUAGUUAGUUGGUAAGGUAACGGCUUACCAAGGCGACGAUCAGUAGCCGACCUGAGAGGGUGAUCGGCCACAUUGGAACUGAGACACGGUCCAAACUCCUACGGGAGGCAGCAGUGGGGAAUAUUGCACAAUGGGCGAAAGCCUGAUGCAGCAACGCCGCGUGAGUGAUGAAGGCCUUCGGGUCGUAAAGCUCUGUCCUCAAGGAAGAUAAUGACGGUACUUGAGGAGGAAGCCCCGGCUAACUACGUGCCAGCAGCCGCGGUAAUACGUAGGGGGCUAGCGUUAUCCGGAUUUACUGGGCGUAAAGGGUGC
rnacentral:rRNA from 1 species